AGUCGGGAAUUUUGGGCAAUGGGCGAAAGCCUGACCCAGCAACGCCGCGUGAAGGAUGAAGUAUUUCGGUAUGUAAACUUCGAAAGAAUGGGAAGAAUAAAUGACGGUACCAUUUAUAAGGUCCGGCUAACUACGUGCCAGCAGCCGCGGUAAUACGUAGGGACCAAGCGUUGUUCGGAUUUACUGGGCGUAAAGGGCGCGUAGGCGGCUUUGUAAGUCACUUGUGAAAUCUCCGGGCUUAACUCGGAACGGCCAAGUGAUACUGCAAAGCUAGAGUGCAGAAGGGGCAAUCGGAAUUCUUGGUGUAGCGGUGAAAUGCGUAGAUAUCAAGAGGAACACCUGAGGUGAAGACGGGUUGCUGGGCUGACACUGACGCUGAGGCGCGAAAGCCAGGGGAGCAAA
rnacentral:rRNA from 1 species